GACCCGCGUCUGAUUAGCUAGUUGGUAAGGUAACGGCUUACCAAGGCGACGAUCAGUAGCCGACCUGAGCGGGUGAUCGGCCACAUUGGAACUGAGACACGGUCCAAACUCCUACGGGAGGCAGCAGGGGGGAAUAUUGCACAAUGGGCGAAAGCCUGAUGCAGCAACGCCGCGUGAGUGAUGAAGGCCGUCGGGUCGUAAAACUCUGUCCUCAAGGAAGAUAAUGACGGUACUUGAGGAGGAAGCCCCGGCUAACUACGUGCCAGCAGCCGCGGUAAUACGUAGGGGGCUAGCGUUAUCCGGAUUUACUGGGCGUAAAGGGUGCGUAGG
rnacentral:rRNA from 1 species